rnacentral:piRNA from 1 species
UAGAAUCCGAUGGGGCAGG